UCUUAUGCAUUAUAUGUUGUACACUGUGUUUUCAUCUUUGUACGGUGGUUUCUUCAAACUGUGGGGUGGUUUCCUGGUUUCCUUUCUAACAUUCUUAGGCAUUUUGCUCUUUCUUUCACAACCUGGUUGCAAACCCCUCUUUCUCUCUCUAAAACGUUUGGCCUCCCAUCUAUCUUUCUCUCUCUAAAAUGCUUGGCAACUAUACAUCGCCGCCGGAUCCAUUUGGCGUAGAUCUGUUGUCAUCUGUGAUACAAAGGGGAUUGUGUGGUGUUAGAGAGAGAAAUGGAGCGGUGGGUAUUGCACCGCCAUUGUCGAAGGCUCCGGCUUCAGGUCGGUGUUUUGGUUUUUAUUUUUCUUUGCAUUGUGUGGUUUAAUGUUGGGUUACCCUUUGGUUUUGUUGUUACCACCGCUGGUAUUGUUGAUUCACCGCCGGCGAUGAUUGGGGCCUUCCUAUUGGCAUGGCAACUCCGAUUGCAGCCUGGGCGGCACUGAGCCGUCAAGACGAUGAUGAUCUAUUAGAUCCGAGUCUUUUGGUUUAGUUUUUUUUUAUUGAUGUUGGUGGCUGUUCUUCGUGGUAGGAUGAAGGCGUUGAUGAUUAUUUUUUUGUUGUCUGAGUAAAUCAAUCAAAGUUAAAAAUUUGUCGCAUCUUGGCGUGGCAUUUUCCGUUGGAAAUCGAAUGAUUUUUUGGUUUCUGCCGAGAAGGAAGCAGCCAUGGCAGUUUAGUUCCUCUUAGUUUGUUCUAAUACAUUUAGUGAUCUGAGCCUAUUUUUUUAAAGAUUUUCUUUUAAAGUGUUUAUUUAUAGAUCUAUUGGCUUACACGUGUUUAGGUUUGAAGUUGGUAAAGUAGUAUAGAAAGAGAUAGAAAGAUCAGAUUGGGAAUUGAAGACGAAAUUGUUUGGUGAUGAUGGGUGUUGUGGUUGUGGUGAGGAACAUGCUGGGCAAAUGAAUUAACCCGACCCUGUAAAAAGUUGAACUCUAUUGUGUUGUGAUUUUAGGUAAAACAUGCAGUACUCCUAAAAUAGAUAAGCAGUCUGAGGAUAGUAAGAAUGAACGGGUUAGAUACGGUUAUCGACGAUGCAAGGGUGGCAUGUUGAUUUUUAACAUUUAACAAGCAUAUACUUGAUUUUGAUAUGUUUUUGUUAACUGUGUUUACAUUAUUUUAUGAAACCAAAAAGAAAGUGUCGUUAGAUGCUUUUAUGUUGGUUUUUCGAUUGGAUUUUUGGUUGUGUAUUGUGCAUGUUGCAGUUGCUUAUCUUGACCCUACUACAUCUUUCUUUGGUGUAUAUGAUGGCCAUGGAGGUAAAGUUGCUGCUAAAUUUUGUACGAGAUCUUCAUUGACAAGUGGUCGCACGAAGCGUAUUUUACUGGUGAUAUUGAAACAUCUCUACAAAAGGUGUUUACCAGAAUGGAUGAAAUUGAAUGAGGGUUUCAUUUGGUUUCCAAGAGGUGAAGCAAGUAAUAAGAUUGAUGACUGGGCAUUUGACUACUAAUAUAUAUAUUUUUCCUUCUACUUUUACUGAACUCAACAGAAUUAUUGUUCAAUUAUUUGAUUCUUUACAUGGGCCGCAUUCUGAUUUCACAGGACCAACAUCUGAAUUACUGGAUGUAUAGCGUGUGUUGCAGCCGUGUCCGUGCGGCGGCGGUGGCGGAGACGCGGUGGCAACCGGCUACGGACGCGGCUUCUUCAUUCAUUCUGCGACUCUCCGACAAAGGGGCUAUGUGAAUAUUGGUUCUCAUGCUUCAAUAAAAGUAUGUGAUCAGUUUUCGAGGUGUUUGUAUGUUGAGGAUCAUGUUCAUUGGUGGUGGUUGCAACAUUUCAAAGACAUAAAGCAAUAGGUCUCACGCCGCAACGCCCGGAGACAACUAACUUAGCGAACGCUUUGCCCCGCCGGCGCAACGCGCGGCGAGCUAAAAUCUAGUUAUAUAUUAUAAAUUUGUAACAUUCUUAUGCAUUGUAACUUGUACUUUAUGCUUAUAAUGUUGGAUAGUGACAUGUGACAAAACUAUAUAACAUUCUUAGGCAUAUUAACUUGUACUAAUGCUUAUAAAGUUGGACAAUGAUAUGUGACAAAAUUAUGUAUCA